rnacentral:rRNA from 1 species
AAUCCAUAGGUUAAUGAGGCGAACCGGGGGAACUGAAACAUCUAAGUACCCCGAGGAAAAGAAAUCAACCGAGAUUCCCCCAGUAGCGGCGAGCGAACGGGGAGGAGCCCAGAGCCUGAAUCAGCAUGUGUGUUAGUGGAAGCGUCUGGAAAGGCGCGCGAUACAGGGUGACAGCCCCGUACACAAAAGCGCAUGUGCUGUGAGCUCGAUGAGUAGGGCGGGACACGUGGUAUCCUGUCUGAAUAUGGGGGGACCAUCCUCCAAGGCUAAAUACUCCUGACUGACCGAUAGUGAACCAGUACCGUGAGGGAAAGGCGAAAAGAACCCCGGCGAGGGGAGUGAAAAAGAACCUGAAACCGUGUACGUACAAGCAGUGGGAGCACAGGUUUACCUGUGUGACUGCGUACCUUUUGUAUAAUGGGUCAGCGACUUAUAUUCUGUAGCAAGGUUAACCGUAUAGGGGAGCCGGAGGGAAACCGAGUCUUAACCGGGCGUUAAGUUGCAGGGUAUAGACCCGAAACCCGGUGAUCUAGCCAUGGGCAGGUUGAAGGUUGGGUAACACUAACUGGAGGACCGAACCGACUAAUGUUGAAAAAUUAGCGGAUGACCUGUGGCUGGGGGUGAAAGGCCAAUCAAACCGGGAGAUAGCUGGUUCUCCCCGAAAGCUAUUUAGGUAGCGCCUCGUGAAUUCAUCUCCGGGGGUAGAGCACUGUUUCGGCUAGGGGGCCAUCCCGGCUUACCAACCCGAUGCAAACUGCGAAUACCGGAGAAUGUUAUCACGGGAGACACACGGCGGGUGCUAACGUCCGUCGUGAAGAGGGAAACAACCCAGACCGCCAGCUAAGGUCCCAAAGUCAUGGUUAAGUGGGAAACGAUGUGGGAAGGCCCAGACAGCCAGGAUGUUGGCUUAGAAGCAGCCAUCAUUUAAAGAAAGCGUAAUAGCUCACUGGUCGAGUCGGCCUGCGCGGAAGAUGUAACGGGGCUAAACCAUGCACCGAAGCUGCGGCAGCGACACUCAGGUGUUGUUGGGUAGGGGAGCGUUCUGUAAGCCUGUGAAGGUGUGUCGUGAGGCAUGCUGGAGGUAUCAGAAGUGCGAAUGCUGACAUAAGUAACGAUAAAGCGGGUGAAAAGCCCGCUCGCCGGAAGACCAAGGGUUCCUGUCCAACGUUAAUCGGGGCAGGGUGAGUCGACCCCUAAGGCGAGGCCGAAAGGCGUAGUCGAUGGGAAACGGGUUAAUAUUCCCGUACUUGGUGUUACUGCGAAGGGGGGACGGAGAAGGCUAUGUUGGCCGGGCGACGGUUGUCCCGGUUUAAGCGUGUAGGUGUGUGUUCCAGGUAAAUCCGGUCCACUUUAACACUGAGGCGUGAUGACGAGGCACUACGGUGCUGAAGCAACAAAUGCCCUGCUUCCAGGAAAAGCCUCUAAGCAUCAGGUAACAUCAAAUCGUACCCCAAACCGACACAGGUGGUCAGGUAGAGAAUACCAAGGCGCUUGAGAGAACUCGGGUGAAGGAACUAGGCAAAAUGGUGCCGUAACUUCGGGAGAAGGCACGCUGACACGUAGGUGAAGUGAUUUACUCACGGAGCUGAAGUCAGUCGAAGAUACCAGCUGGCUGCAACUGUUUAUUAAAAACACAGCACUGUGCAAACACGAAAGUGGACGUAUACGGUGUGACGCCUGCCCGGUGCCGGAAGGUUAAUUGAUGGGGUCAGCGCAAGCGAAGCUCCUGAUCGAAGCCCCGGUAAACGGCGGCCGUAACUAUAACGGUCCUAAGGUAGCGAAAUUCCUUGUCGGGUAAGUUCCGACCUGCACGAAUGGCGUAAUGAUGGCCAGGCUGUCUCCACCCGAGACUCAGUGAAAUUGAACUCGCUGUGAAGAUGCAGUGUACCCGCGGCAAGACGGAAAGACCCCGUGAACCUUUACUAUAGCUUGACACUGAACAUUGAGCCUUGAUGUGUAG